GACUUAAGCAUAUCAAUAAGCGGAGGAAAAGAAACUAACAAGGAUUCCCCUAGUAACUGCGAGUGAAGCGGGAAAAGCUCAAAUUUAAAAUCUGGCGGUCUUUGGCCGUCCGAGUUGUAGUCUGGAGAAGUGCUUUCCGCGCUGGACCGUGUAUAAGUCUCUUGGAACAGAGCGUCAUAGAGGGUGAGAAUCCCGUCUUUGACACGGACUACCAGUGCUUUGUGAUGCGCUCUCAAAGAGUCGAGUUGUUUGGGAAUGCAGCUCAAAAUGGGUGGUAAAUUCCAUCUAAAGCUAAAUAUUGGCGAGAGACCGAUAGCGAACAAGUACCGUGAGGGAAAGAUGAAAAGCACUUUGGAAAGAGAGUUAAACAGUACGUGAAAUUGCUGAAAGGGAAACGCUUGAAGUCAGUCGCGUCUGCCGGAACUCAGCCUUGCUUUUGCUUGGUGCACUUUCCGGUUGACGGGCCAGCAUCGAUUUUGACCGUCGGAAAAGGGCUAGGGAAAUGUGGCACCUUCGGGUGUGUUAUAGUCUCUAGUCGCAUACGGCGGUUGGGAUCGAGGACCGCAGCGCGCCGCAAGGCAGGGGUUCGCCCACUUUCGCGCUUAGGAUGCUGGCAUAAUGGCUUUAAACGACCCGUCUUGAAACACGGACCAAGGAGUCUAACAAACCUGCGAGUGUUUGGGUGGUAAACCCGAGCGCGUAAUGAAAGUGAAAGUUGAGACCUCUGUCGUGGAGGGCAUCGACGCCCGGACCUGACGUUCUCUGAAGGAUCCGCGGUAGAGCAUGUUUGUUGGGACCCGAAAGAUGGUGAACUAUGCCUGAAUAGGGUGAAGCCAGAGGAAACUCUGGUGGAGGCUCGUAGCGAUUCUGACGUGCAAAUCGAUCGUCAAAUUUGGGUAUAGGGGCGAAAGACUAAUCGAACCAUCUAGUAGCUGGUUCCUGCCGAGCUUCCCCCUCGGAAGUU
rnacentral:rRNA from 1 species